rnacentral:rRNA from 1 species
AUUGAACGCUGGCGGCAGGCCUAACACAUGCAAGUCGAGCGGAUGAAGGGAGCUUGCUCCUGGAUUCAGCGGCGGACGGGUGAGUAAUGCCUAGGAAUCUGCCUGGUAGUGGGGGAUAACGUCCGGAAACGGGCGCUAAUACCGCAUACGUCCUGAGGGAGAAAGUGGGGGAUCUUCGGACCACACGCUAUCAGAUGAGCCUAGGUCGGAUUAGCUAGUUGGUGGGGUAAAGGCCUACCAAGGCGACGAUCCGUAACUGGUCUGAGAGGAUGAUCAGUCACACUGGAACUGAGACACGGUCCAGACUCCUACGGGAGGCAGCAGUGGGGAAUAUUGGACAAUGGGCGAAAGCCUGAUCCAGCCAUGCCGCGUGUGUGAAGAAGGUCUUCGGAUGGUAAAGCACUUUAAGUUGGGAGGAAGGGCAGUAAGUUAAUACCUUGCUGUUUUGACGGUACCAACAGAAUAAGCACCGGCUAACUUCGUG